rnacentral:hammerhead_ribozyme from 1 species
AUGUAGCCGACGAGUCCUGAAUAGGGCGAAACGUGCGUCCUGGAU